AGGGGGUGUAGCAAUACAUCACCGGCGGACGGGUGCGUAACACGUGGGAAUAUACCUUUUGGUUCGGAACAACGCAGGGAAACUUGCGCUAAUACCGAAUGUGCCCUUACGGGGAAAGAUUUAUCGGCAAAGGAUUAGCCCGCGUCCGAUUAGCUAGUUGGUGAGGUAACGGCUCACCAAGGCUCCGAUCGGUAGCUGUUCUGAGAGGAAGAUCAGCCACACUGGGACUGAGACACGGCCCAGACUCCUACGGGAGGCAGCAGUUGGGAAUCUUGGACAAUGGGGGAAACCCUGAUCCAGCCAUGCCGCGUGAGUGAUGAAGGCCUUCGGGUUGUAAAACUCUUUCGACGGGGACGAUAAUGACGGUACCCGUAGAAGAAGCUCCGGCUAACUUCGUGCCAGCAGCCGCGGUAAUACGAAGGGGGCUAGCGUUGUUCGGAAUUACUGGGCGUAAAGCGCGCGCAGGCGGUCUUCCAAGUCAGUGGUGAAAGCCCGGAGCUCAACUCCGGAACUGCCAUUGAAACUGUUGGACUUGAGGAUGAGAGAGGUGAGUGGAAUUCCCAGUGUAGAGGUGAAAUUCGUAGAUCUUGGGAAGAAC
rnacentral:rRNA from 1 species